AACACAUCAGAGCAGCAGCAACAGCCUCAAAAGUCCCUGUAAUGGUCUGCGAGAGUCCGGAGCACAACUUCACAUUUUUAAGGCUCAGAGAGGCGGCCUGGCUGCUGGUCGAGGUGCUCCGAACAUAUCCUGUGAGGCGUAGGUGAUGUAGAGGAAGCCAUCAGCGUCUCUGUAGCGGGAGUAAACCUCCCCCAUGCUGGAGGACAUGCAGGACAUGCUCUUCUCUGCCACCAGGAGGAACAAAGCCUGGGUAGAGUCCAAGGCAAUCUUAUUCCUGAGAGGAAGGACAAAGUAGGGAGAGAGUACGAGACAGUGAAAGUUGUGGAGACGCUGAGAGAGAACAAUGACAAAUCUGACAAAUCGGGGGACAAAACGUAGCUGAGGGAGGGUUGAAAUGAGAAGAAAAGGGCUGGAAAUAUUAGAAACGAGUAGUCACAGAUCACUUACCUGAGCAGGCACAGGAACUGACCCAAGGUGAGCUCGAAGGGAACCAAGAACUUUGUUUUGUCCAACAGGGGGAGAGUCUUUUCACGGGUGUAACGUUCAACAAUUACCUGGACACAAAAACACACCUGUGAUCAGCUGAUGGUGCAGUCGCACCCAGAAAAAAAGGGCAUCAUCUCCAUGGAUUUCUCAAAAGGAGCCAUGUUUGUUUGUUCCUCGGGGAGGUUCGCAGAGACCAGUGGUGAUGGAGGCGUGUGCAGCUG